AUUGAACGCUGGCGGCAGGCCUAACACAUGCAAGUCGAGCGGAGCGGCGGACGGGUGAGUAAUGCCUAGGAAUCUGCCUGGUAGUGGGGGAUAACGUCCGGAAACGGGCGCUAAUACCGCAUACUAUCAGAUGAGCCUGGGGGGGAUUAGCUAGUUGGUGGGGUAAGGGCCUACCAAGGCGACGAUCCGUAACUGGUCUGAGAGGAUGAGCAGCCACACUGGAACUGAGACACGGUCCAGACUCCUACGGGAGGCAGCAGUGGGGAAUAUUGCACAAUGGGCGAAAGCCUGAUCCAGCCAUGCCGCGUGUGUGAAGAAGGUCUUCGGAUUGUAAAGCACUGUAAGUGGGGAGGCGUUAACAACCGAAUAAGCACCGGCUAACUACGUGCCAGCCGCCGCGGUAAUUC
rnacentral:rRNA from 1 species